rnacentral:misc_RNA from 1 species
UCCAAACACCACUCACACGACGGUGA